UACGGGGGGGGGCAAGCGUUGUUCGGAAUUACUGGGCGUAAAGGGCUCGUAGGUGGCCAACUAAGUCAUACGUGAAAUCCCUCGGCUUAACCGGGGAACUGCGUCUGAUACUGGAUGGCUUGAGGUUGGGAGAGGGAUGCGGAAUUCCAGGUGUAGCGGUGAAAUGCGUAGAUAUCUGGAGGAACACCGGGUGGCGAAGGCGGCAUCCUGGACCAAAUUCUGACACUGGAGGAGCGAAAGCCAGGGGAGCAAAGCGGGAUUAGAGUA
rnacentral:rRNA from 1 species